rnacentral:rRNA from 1 species
GAUGAACGCUGGCGGCGUGCCUAAUACAUGCAAGUCGAGCGAAUGGAUUAAGAGCUUGCUCUUAUGAAGUUAGCGGCGGACGGGUGAGUAACACGUGGGUAACCUGCCCAUAAGACUGGGAUAACUCCGGGAAACCGGGGCUAAUACCGGAUAACAUUUUGAACCGCAUGGUUCGAAAUUGAAAGGCGGCUUCGGCUGUCACUUAUGGAUGGACCCGCGUCGCAUUAGCUAGUUGGUGAGGUAACGGCUCACCAAGGCAACGAUGCGUAGCCGACCUGGGAGGGUAAUCGGCCACACUGGGACUGAGGCACGGCCCAGACUCCUACGGGAGGCAGCAGUAGGGAAUCUUCCGCAAUGGGCGAAAGGCUGACGGGGCAACGGCGCGUGAGUGAUGAAGGCUUUCGGGUCGUAAAGCUCUGUUGUUAGGGAAGAACAGGUGCUAGUUGAAUAAGCUGGCACCUUGACGGUACCUAACCAGAAAGCCACGGCUAACUACGUGCCAGCAGCCGCAGUAA